rnacentral:rRNA from 1 species
UACGUAGGGUGCGAGCGUUGUCCGGAAUUAUUGGGCGUAAAGAGCUCGUAGGCGGUUUGUCGCGUCUGCUGUGAAAACCCGAGGCUCAACCUCGGGCCUGCAGUGGGUACGGGCAGACUAGAGUGGCGGUAGGGGAGAUUGGAAUUCCUGGUGUAGCGGUGGAAUGCGCAGAUAUCAGGAGGAACACCGAUGGCGAAGGCAGAGUCUCGGGCCGUAACUGACGCUGAGGAGCGAAAGCAUGGGGAGCGAACAGG